CGAAUCGAACGCAAAAAUUAUGGGCCCAGUUUUUGAGAUCUAAAUGAAGUUCGAAAAUCGCCGUUAGGGGCGCUUGUGAUGAUUGGGAUACUAGAAAUACACAGCUUCUUAUGGCAAGAAUAACUAUUUUGUUAUAAAUUAUAGAGCCAAGUUAAUAUUUGGGCAUAUUUUUACCAGAGUUAGCUUUUAGAAACGUGGUUUUUCUAAUUGAGCAAUGUGCGUGGCUAAAAUUGUGAAUACAAAACCUUAAAUUUGAGUUUGAAAAUGCAUACACGACCGAAGAAACAUAUAAGCUGCUAAAAUAAAUCUUCCCUAGAACUGUUGUACAAAAAAGAUAGAAGUUCCAGCAACAAAUUUAUCACCAGUUCAACCUUUGAUUUGAUGUAAACAGUAAUUGUUUCUUGAUGAGAAAUGCGAAUGAAAUAGUUUAUGGUGUGAUUGUGUUAGUGUUUUAUUAAUAGUUUUGUUGAUGCAGUUUAAAGGUUCAUAGUUUUUCAUUAAAACAUUUGAAAUUGACAUGUUUACAUGCAGUUUAGUGUGAUACCAUUUUAAUAAACAUUAAAAUCUUUCGAACUAGUAGUGGUUUUAUGGCGAUUGACAGAUUGAAUAACGAAAAU